UGGGGAAUAUUGGACAAUGGGGGGAACCCUGAUCCAGCCAUGCCGCGUGUGUGAAGAAGGCCUUAUGGUUGUAAAGCACUUUAAGCGAGGAGGAGGGUACUGGUAUUAAUACUUCCAGGUACUGGACGUUACUCGCAGAAUAAGCACCGGCUAACUCUGUGCCAGCAGCCGAGGUAAUACAGAGGGUGCGAGCGUUAAUCGGAUUUACUGGGCGUAAAGCGUGCGUAGGCGGCUAAUUGAGUCGGAUGUGAAAUCCCCGAGCUUAACUUGGGAAGUGCAUUCGAUACUGGUUAGCUAGAGUGUGGGAGAGGAUGGUAGAAUUCCAGGUGUAGCGGUGAAAUGCGUAGAGAUCUGGAGGAAUACCGAUGGCGAAGGCAGCCAUCUGGCCUAACACUGACGCUGAGGUACGAAAGCAUGGGGAGCAAACAGG
rnacentral:rRNA from 1 species